GUUGUUUUGGUUUUUUGAACUGAGAGGAAGCUGCCGUGGUGACGUUGCUACUUCGCAUGGAGGUGCCCCUCGGAUGCUGUCCAGGGCGGGCACGGGAGGCGAGGGCUGGGGCCCGUGGGACUCUGCCUCGUGGGCUCAGCGGCACUGGCCCAAGCUGACUUGGAAAAGUCUGUAGGUAGACACAGCAGUGACGGGAG
rnacentral:lncRNA from 1 species